AGAUUGAACGCUGGCGGCAUGCCUUACACAUGCAAGUCGAACGGCAGCACGGGAGCAAUCCUGGUGGCGAGUGGCGAACGGGUGAGUAAUACAUCGGAACGUGCCCAAUCGUGGGGGAUAACGCAGCGAAAGCUGUGCUAAUACCGCAUAAGAUCUACGGAUGAAAGCGAGGGGAUCGACAAGUACCGUUAGCCGACGUAAGUGGAGCCGGCCGAUGGCAG
rnacentral:rRNA from 1 species